GACGAACGCUGGCGGCGUGCUUAACACAUGCAAGUCGAACGGAAAGGCCCUGCUUGCAGGGUCCUCGAGUGGCGAACGGGUGAGUAACACGUGGGUGAUCUGCCCUGCACUUCGGGAUAAGCCUUGGUAACUGGUUCUAAUACCGGAUAGGAGCCAUUUUUCGUGUGAUUGUUGGAAAGUUGUUUUCGGUGUAGGAUGAGCUCGCGGCCUAUCAGCGUGUUGGUGGGGUAAUGGCCUACCAAGGCGGCGACGGGUAGCCGGCCUGAGAGGGUGGACGGCCACAUUGGGACUGAGAUACGGCCCCGACUCCUACGGGAGGCAGAAGUGGGGAAUAUUGCACAAUGGGCGCAAGCCUGAUGCAGAGACGCCGCGUGGGGGAUGACGGCCUUCGGGUUGUAAACUCCUUUCGCUAGGGACGAAGCUUUUUGUGACGGUACCUAGAUAAGAAGCACCGGCUAACUACGUG
rnacentral:rRNA from 1 species